GAUGAACGCUGGCGGCGUGCCUAACACAUGCAAGUCGAGCGCGAAGGAGGCUUCGGCCUCUGGAGAGCGGCAGACGGGUGAGUAACACGUGGGUAACCUACCCCUGGGUGGGGGAUAACUACUCGAAAGGGUGGCUAAUACCGCAUAAGACCACGUCCUUGCGGGGAUGAGGUCAAAGGCGCAAGUCGCCUGGGGAGGGGCCCGCGGCCGAUUAGCUAGUUGGUGAGGUAAUGGCUAACCAAGGCGACGAUCGGUAGCUGGUCUGAGAGGACGACCAGCCACACUGGGACUGAGACACGGCCCAGACUCCUACGGGAGGCAGCAGUGGGGAAUUUUGGACAAUGGGCGAAAGCCUGAUCCAGCAAUGCCGCGUGCAGGAAGAAGGCCUUCGGGUUGUAAACUGCUUUUGUACGGAGCGAAAAGGCUCUCUCUAAUACAGGGGGCUCAUGACGGUACCGUAAGAAUAAGCACCGGCUAACUACGUGCCAGCCGCCGCAGUAAGAC
rnacentral:rRNA from 1 species